CAUGAAAGUACGGUCAAGUUCAGAUGAAAACAGCAAGACUCAGACAUUACAAUAAUUUCAUGCACCACAUAUAGUUACUUAUUAAAGCAUCUGAGAAACAGACCAAAUCACUUAACUUUUAACUUUGAUAACUGAUCCAUGAAAUGAGGUGAGGUCAGAUGAACCCUGUCAAACACACAUGUUGACAUUGCAAGGAACCCAUAUACCACAUAUAGUUAUCCUAUUACUCAUAAUAAGUGAAAAAUUCACAUUCCAAAAAAGCCAUAAUUUUUUUUUUCAAGCAGUCGCUGAACCAUGAAAAUGAGGUCAAGGACAAUAGACAUAUGACAGAUGGAAACUUCCUAACCUAAGAAAGACAUUACAAGAAGAAAAUGAAACAGAUGAAUAAGAAAGAUUCAACAAUUAACAUUAAUAUCGAAUCAGAAAUAAAGAACUGAGAACAAAAAAGUAGCUAUAUAGCAAAAUUGUGCAUGGAUAUUAUUGAAAUAUCUUUGCAGUACUGCAAUGUGAUGUUAUCUGCCCCUGCGGACAUUGCGGUUAUACCAUACUGCACUCUCAGGAUAAUAAAACUCCAUCAACAUUAUACAAUAGAAAUAAUGCAAACAGAAAUAAAUCCUUGAGUAAAUACAGUUGAUUGGAAGUUAAUGAGGUUUCCAGGACAAAAAAUGUAUAGAUAGUCAGGUUGACAAUACAGUGUAAAUUUGAUAAUGCUUUUAUUUAAAUUAAAAUAAUUCAAACUCAUAAAUAUUCUUUUCCCAACUAAAACAACAUUUGAGAAAAUAAAUAUAGAAAAUAUCAAUCAUCAAAAGUUUUCUAUACAACAGAGGAAUAAAAUAUUUUCACAACUAAUUUGAAAGGAUAAUUGUGUCUUAUGUUUUAUCAUUUUUUUCAAAAUUAAAACAGAUCCCUACUUCUGAAUGCUUGAACUUCAUGCUUUGUUUCUGGCUAUAUUUUUUACUCUUGAUACACUUCAAGAUAUCUUUUCUGCAAGGUAAAAACAGUUUUAAAUAACUGAUUUUCCUGAAAUAAUUGUAAGUUGUCAGGUUACUUUUAUAUCACAAUAAUAUUUGUUGUUUUUAUUCAGAAAAAAAUUGUUUAGGUAUCUUCUGGCAUCCACAGAUUGAUAAAAAAAAAAACCCAAAGUAAUGAAAGUGAAUUUAAACAAGAGUGCACACCCUGAAAUGUCUCACCUUCCUUACUGACCAUUGAUUUUAUAUUGAUAGUCCUAAAUAUAAAGCUUUACUACAACUAUCACAUAAACUUAACAUGAUCCAAGAAAAUGAGAUCAAGGUCAGAUAAACCAAACUGUAAAUACAUGUACACCUUACAAUCAUUCCAUACACCAAAUAUGCUUUAAAUAUAGUUGACCUAUUGCACAUAGUAUCUAAGAAACAAACUUAAUAAGGAAAAUUUAACAUUGAUCAAUGAACCAUGAAAUUGAGGUCAAGGUCAGAUGAACCCUGCCAGACAGACAUGUACACCUUACAAUCAUUACAUGCUUUAAAUAUAGUUGACCUAUUGCAAAUAGUAUCUGAGAAACAAACUUAACCAGGAAAACUUAAGAUUGACCAAUGAACCAUGAAAAUGAGGUCAUGGUCAGAUGAUAAUUGCCAGACAGACAUAUACACCUUACAA